AGCAGGCUUAAAUUCAAGUUCUGUGUGUCAACGGGUGAGAUCACAGAUGGAUUUCUUGAGUUAUUGUAUUAUAAUCCCAUGUCUUUUAUCUCUCUUGUGUUUCUCAGUUCAAGCUCUCAGAUCCAAUCCCAAAAGGCUUCUUCCACCUGGACCAAAGCCAUUUCCCAUCAUUGGCAAUCUCUUGGAGCUCGGCAACAAACCCCAUCUCUCUCUCACUAACCUUUCACAACGAUACGGCCCCAUUAUUUCAUUGCAACUUGGACAAGUAACCACGGUCGUAGUUUCUUCAUCAACCGUGGCAAAGGAGGUCCUCCGAACCCACGACCAGUUCUUGUGCAACCGAACCGUCCCAGACGCAAUCCAAGCUUGCGAUCUCCGCCAGGACAGCUUGCCCUGGAUACCGGUGUCAGAGAAAUGGAGAAACCUCCGUAAAAUAUGCAACAACCAAUUGUUUGCAACAAAAGUUCUAGACGCCAACCAAGCCAACCGUCACCUGAAAGUGCAGGAGCUCAUCGCCGAUGUCAAUGAAAGCGUUGUGAAAGGUAAGGCGGUAGAAAUUGGGAGGGCUGCUUUUAAGACAACGCUUAAUCUGCUGUCGCGUACUGUUUUCUCGGUCGAUUUAGCUGACCCGAGAAGUGAGAUGGGCAGAGAGUUCAAGGAGAUUGUGUGGGGUUUGAUGGAAGAGGCAGGGAAGCCAAACUUGGGGGACUAUUUUCCUCUGCUUAGGAAACUUGACCCCCAAGGCAUUCGACGGCGCAUGAUCAAACAUUUCGUUAAGAUUGAUUCGCUUUUUGAUCGAAUGAUUACGCAAAGGUUAGAAUUGAGAAAAUCGAACUAUUAUGUCACAAGUAAUGAUAUGUUGGAUUCUCUCUUGGACGUCAGUGAAGUGAGCAAUGAGAAUAUGGACAAGCUAUUGAUUGAACAUCUGCUUCUGGUCAGUUUUCUAAUUUCUAACAACUCAUAUUCGAUAUUUUAGGGUGCCUUUGAUAAUCAUUUCGGUUUUUCAGUUAUCAUUCUGUUCAUUAAAAUUUACGAUUCCAUUAUUUAGUCGUUGCAUUGCUGCAAUAUGUGUAUAUAUAGGCUCUAUUUGUUGCGGGCACGGAUACAACUUCAGCCACGUUGGAAUGGGCAAUGGCUGAACUACUACGCAACCCGGAAAAACUGUCCAAAGCACAAGAGGAACUAGAGCAAGUCAUUGGCAAAGGAAAACCAGUUGAGGAAUCGGACAUUGCUCAACUCCCUUACUUACAAGCAAUAAUCAAAGAGACCUUCCGGUUGCAUCCGGCUACUCCAUUACUACUCCCUCGAAAAGCCGAACAAGACAUGGAAAUUUGCGGGUACGUUGUCCCAAAGGGUGCACAAGUGCUGGUCAAUGCAUGGGCUAUAGGCAGAGACCCUUGCAUUUGGGACAACCCGAUCUCAUUUGUACCGGAGAGGUUUUUGGGAUUAGAUGAUCAAAUCGAUGUUUUAGGCAAGAAUUUUGAGCUCGUUCCGUUUGGUGGCGGGCGGAGAAUAUGUCCAGGGAUGCUAUUGGCAAUACGGAUGCUAAACUUGAUGUUGGGUUCACUUAUUAACUCAUUUGAUUGGAAGCUUGAAGAUGGAGUUAUACCAGAGAACAUGAACAUGGAGGAGAAGUUUGGCCUCACCUUACAGAUGGCUCAUCCUCUAAGGCUUGUGCCAAAAGUCCUAAUUAAUUUGAAAUGGUAAUUUUAUUAACUUUUAAUUAGUAAUUUUACAUUUAUGUGGUUGUUUUUAGUUUAAAAGAUGCAGCAAGGCAUAUGUAAAAUAACUCAAAUGUACUUCAUUUUGCCAAUGGAAGCUUUCUUUUCUUCUUCUUUGAGGUACACUUUACUAUUAGUAGGAGAGAUUCAGACUUGAAAUAUCUUUAAAAAAUAUUAAAAAAAAUAAUACCAAUAAUAGUAUUUUAUUAGCCACCUAUUAUUUGGUGUGAUAAUAUUUCCGUCAUUGCUCUGGCGCACAAUCCAGUUUUUCAUGAUCGUACCAAACAGGUGGAAGGCGAUGUCCAUUUGAUCCUCCAUCAUGUCUCUAGCACUGAUCAGCUGGCUGACUUGUUGACGAAGGGGUUGCUGUAGGGUAAUGGAUAACGCUUCUGAUGACACAUCCACAACAAAUAGGAAAGUAAUCUCAAACGCUAGAAGAUUAGAAAGUAAUCUACUCAUAUUAGGAAAGGAAUCCUAAUCCUAAUCUCAUGAGAAAGAUAAUCUUAAUCGUAUUAGAAAUAAGAAGGAACCAUAAUCCUUACCUCACCACAAAAUCUUAGGGUUUAUUCAGUGCAAGUUUAUCUGACAACUUCAGUGAAUUUUAAGGUUUAUUCAGUGCAAGUUUAUCUGACAACUUCAGUGAAUUUUAAGGUUUAUUCAGUGCAAAUUGAAUGAGUAGGAUUUGCUACUUAUAUAGCCGAUUAGCCCGGAAGAAAGAUUUUCUUCCUUUAAAGACCCAUAUAGACAAAGUGAAGCUAAACACCAACUCUUUGCAAUCUUCGACACCCACAUCUACUUUUGGUGGGAACCAUUCCCGUUAGUGGGUUGGUGGGUUCUUAUAUAAUAUAGAUUCUGAGAGGUUAAAUUCAAAUCUUUACAGGUGAAGAAAAGAAACAGGUAGUGCCAAAUAAUACUGGGGUACUAUGCUAGCAAUCUUCUUACCUAGGAGCUUCUCGUUUUACAUUUUCAAUUCUCAAUUUCAUACUGCAAUGUUACUUGAUAAUUCGAGUUGCCUAUUUUUUAGGUCAUCCUUACAAUAAAUCAACCGAAUUAGAAAGAAAGAAAGUCAACGAAUUCAUUUAUUUAUUUCUUCUUCUCUUCUAUGAUCAUCAUUAAGAAAAUAUAUUGAGAAAAUCUAUAUAUAUACAUAUACAUAUAUACAUAUAUAUAUAUAUAUAUAUAUAUAUAUAUUCUUGCUCCUUGUAUUCCAAGCAUUAUCUCUCUUGUGAUAGAAAACUUAUGAUUGUAUUUCUUAAUCAAUAAGAUUACAACAGAUGGUUAUAUAUACAACCAAUAAACCUAUGAAAAAUGACAGCUCACCUAACUAAUUUACAGAUCAUGAAAACUAACCAUAUCAGAAAAGUAUCUUCUAAGUUUUAUCUUUUACAAUAUUAGCCUUAAUAUCCCCCAUCAAACUAAACUGAGGGUGUCGAAGAGCAAGUUUAUGUCGGAGAAGAUGAAACCGAGCCUUGGACAGAGGCUUUGUGCAAAUAUCAACAAGUAGAUCCUGUGUGCAGAUGAAAUGGACUGAAAGCUCUUUAGAUAAACCUUUCUCUCGGAUAUAGUGGUAAUCAAGUUCAACAUGCUUGGUCCGAGCAUGAAAGACAAGAUUCUUAGCAAGAUGCAUAGCAAAAAUAUUGUCACACCAGAGCGUAGGAGGAGAGGGAAGUUUCAGACUAACGUCAAUCAAAAGCUUGCAGAUCCAAGUGAGUUCAGCAGUAGAAUUAGUUAGAGAACGAUACUCAGCUUCAGUUGAAGAGCGGGCCACAGUAGGCUGUUUCUUAACACUCCAGCUAAGUAAAGAGUUACCUAGAAAAAUACAGAAACCACCAAUUGAUCGUCGAUCCAGGUGACAGCAGGCCCAAUCAGCAUCAGAAAAGGCAUUGAUGCGAAGAGGUGUGGCAGUUUUAGAAAACCACAGACCAAGCUCAAGAGUACCCUUUAGGUACCGAAGAAUUCUUUUGACAGUUUGAAGAUAUGAUUCCCUUGGUUGAUGCAUGAACUGACACACCAAGUUGACGGCAAAUAAAAGGUCAGGCUGAGACCUAGUGAGGUAUUGCAACCCACCAACAAGAGAUCGAUGUUCUGUAGGAUCAGAUAAUAAGGGAGACUCAUGAUCCAUAGAAAAAGUGUUGAGGGGAGUUGCACAAGGUUUGGCAUCAUCCAUUUUGGAUUUCUGAAGUAGAUCCAAAAUGUAUUUUGUCUGAGAAAUAAAAAUACCAGAGGAUGAUCGUUUUACUUCAAUGCCAAGGAAAUAGUGAAGAGGGCCCAAAUCCUUGAUAGGAAACAAAGCACUGAGCUGAGAAAUUGUAGCUUGACAAGUUUGAGCAUCAGGACCGGUAACAAGGAUAUCAUCAACAUAUACAAGUAUGAAUACCAAGGUAGGAUCCUUUUUAACAAAAAGAGAAUGAUCAUUCUGUGAACCAUGGAAACCAAAAGAGGAAAGAGCAGAAUAGAGUUUCUCAUACCAUGCCCGAGGGGCUUGUUUGAGCCCAUACAAGGAUUUGUGCAGUCCACAAACAUGAGUUGGCUUUGUAAGAUCUUCAAAGCCUGAGGGCUGAACCAUAAACACAGAUUCAGAGAGGUUCCCAUGCAGAAAAGCAUUGUUGACAUCCAAUUGAUUGAGAAACCAAUCGAAUUGAGCUGCCAUAGUAAGAAGUAACCAAAUAGUGACAGGUUUUGCAACUGGAAUGAAGGUCUCUGUAUAAUCUAGACCUUGUUGUUGAUGAAACCCUUUUGCAACAAGUUGGGCUUUGUACCGUGCAAUAGUACCAUAUGGGUUCCUCUUGAUGUGGAAAACCCAUUUGCAACCUACCAAGUUUUGAAAAGGCUGGGAUGGAUCAAGAGACCAAGUCCCAGUGUUGAGCAAGGCAUUGUACUUUUCCUGCAUAGCCUGUCGCUAAUGAGAGUGUUUGGAGGCUUGUAAGUAGGAAUGUGGAAUAUAGUCUAGGGAUAGAGAAGAGGGAAGGGGAUGUUUGGUGGCUGUGUAGGCUUUAGGCUUGUGAAUCCUAGAUUUAGAACGGGUUGGCAUAGGGUGAUUAUUAACCGGAGGUGAAUAAGGGUGAGGAACUUGAGGUGGCAGAGAAGGGGAUAAGGGUGGGGAAGGAGGAGGUGCAUGAUUAGGAUUAGAAGAAGAGGAAGAAAGGGAUUGAGACAGAGAUGUGGGAAUAGGAUUGGUAAAGGUUAAAGAUGUGGGAAUGAGAUUGGGACAGGUACUUAGAAGGGGAGAUAGAGAGGGAAAGUUGGGAAUGUGAUGAAAAGGAAAGUGGAGUUCAUCAAAAAGCACAUGACGGGAGAUAUAAAUCCUUCUAGUAACAACAUUGAGACAUUUGUAACCUUUAUGUUGCAAACUGUACCCCAAAAAUACACAAGGCUGACUUUUUGGAUCAAGUUUCGAGUGAACAUAAGGUUUUAACCAAGGAAAGCACUUGCAGCCAAAUAUUUUGAGUGUAUGAUAAUCUGGAGAUUUGUGAAAGAGAGAUUCCCAGGGAGAACACUUUAAGGCAGUGGGAAGCCGAUUAAUCAAAUAUAUAGCUGUAGCAAAGGCAUCAAUCCAAAAUUCAUGGGGAACUUUAGAGGCAGCAAGAAGGGUUCUUGCGGUCUCAACGAUGUGCCUGUGUUUCCUUUCAGCAUAACCAUUCUGUUCUGGGGUGUGGGGACAGGUAAGUUGAUGUAUGAUACCAUGUGUUUUCAAGAAACUGGAGAAUUGAGUACUAGUAAAUUCCCCACCAGAAUCAGAUCGCAGAGUCACAAUCUUAGUGCACAGAAGAUUCUCAACAUAGAUUUGAAUUGAGUAAAAACAAUGAAAGCUUCAGACUUGUAUUUAAGUGGAAAGAACCAGCAAUAUUUGGAGAAAUCAUAAACAAAAAUGAUAUAGUAUUGGAAACCUUGAACAGAACUAACUGGUGAUGGUCCCCAUAUAUCAGUAUGUAAAAGCUCCAAAGGCUUGCUUGAUGAAUAAGAAACAUAAGGAAAUGGUAAUUUUGAACAUUUUCCCAUUGCACAACUGGAACACAAAGACUGAUGGGAACUACCAGUGAAAGAAAUACAAGAAGUUGAAGCAAUCUUAUUCAUUAUUCUAGAUGAAGGAUGGCCUAAUCUUUGAUGCCAUAUAUCCUGAGAGGCCUUGAAUGUUGCUGCAAAAGCAUGUUGAGUACCAGCAGAAUAAAUUGUAGUAGGAAAGGGAUAGAAUCCAUCGCAUACAGGUCCCUUAAAAAGCACAUUCUCCGAAUGAAGGUCCUUCACAAGAAAGUGGAAAGGAUACAGAUGAACUGAGCAUUGAUUAUCAAGAAUGAAUUUGUUGGCAGAAAGCAAAUCUUGCUUUAAUGCAGGAACAUGUAAAACAUUCUUAAGAUUAAAGCAGUGAGUAUUAGUAGAGACACGAGAAGAGCCGAGAUGAAGAAUAGGCAAACCUUUGCCAUCGCCAAUGUAGACCUGUUCAGGACCAGAGUAGGAUUCAGGAUUUUGCAGUUUUGCAUAGGAGUUUGUCAUGUGAGAAGAAGCUCUAGAAUCAAGCAACCAAGUGUGUUAAGAUGGAGAGGUAGUAGCAUAGAAAGCAGAUUGGGAUUGAGCACCAAAAUUAGGGUUGAGGCGCUGAGAACACUCCAUAGCUUCAUGGUCAAAUUGCUUGCAAAUUUGACAAGUCAGUCUUCUGCCAGAGUAAAGGAAUUUGAGUUGUUGUUGAAUCUGAAGCCACAAUUCUGAGAAUAUCGCUGAUUAUUAGGCUUGGUGUAGUGAUUACGUUGAUUGUUACCCCUGAAAUUUCCUCGAUUCUGUGAAUUUCGGAGAUGCGAGCCACGGCCUUGAUUGGAAGAAAAAUUGGAGGAACUCUGAGCAAUGUAAGCCUGAGAAUUAGGAGGAUCAGUAGGUGUAGGCAAAAUACCAGUAGAAGUAUUGAAGGCUUGGAUCGGUGUAGAGGAAAAUUUCUUCCGAUUUUCGAUUUGAAUUUCUUUGCUCAACAAAAGACCGUGUAGUUCAUCAAGAGUUGUAGAAACAACUCGGAAUUGAACAGCAUCACCAAAUGAGUCAAAUUCAGGAGGUAAACCAUGAAGUGUGACAGAGAUUAACUCAUAAUCAUCAACCGGAGCACCAGCGCUGGCCAAAGUGUCAGCAAUUUCUUCAAUCCGUUGAAGAAACAAGGCGGCGGAGGACUCACCUUUGGUAAUGGUGCGAAGCCGAGAUCGGAGCUCAUGAAUGUGAAAGUGCGACACCGUCGCAAGUCUUGAUUAAAGUUUAGACCAGAGCUCGCGAGAAGAAUUGACACCAACAAUAUAAGGAAUCAAUGAAUCAGAAAGAGUCGAAUUUAUCCAAAUUAGGAUAUUCUGAUCAUUUUCAUACCAAGAAACAAAAUCAGGAUUCAAGGUAGAAGUGCGAUUUUCAGAGGUAUCAUAGAGAUACUUCGGCGGAGCCACCUGAGAUCCAUCGACAAUGCUGGUGAGAUUAUAGCGCUGGAAGAUCGGAGCAAAUAGCGCACUCCAGGUGAGAUAGUUGGUGGUAGUGAGCUUAAUCAGCACCAUUGAACCAAUAUUCUGGAUGGUAAUGGAAAAAGGUGACGAAGAAACGGCUGGAGAAGGAGGAGAAAGAGAGACAUUAUCAGAGGAAGGAGAUGCAGACGCCGCCAUUGAUGACGAUUAGGGUUACAAUUUGGGGAAGAAAGAGGCGGUGCGAAAGCAGGUUAGGGAAAGGAUCGAGAGAGAGUCGUGAGAUAGAUGGCGAGAGAUACCAUGAUAGAAAACUUAUGAUUGUAUUUCUUAAUCAAUAAGAUUACAACAGAUGGUUAUAUAUACAACCAAUAAACCUAUGAAAAAUGACAGCUCACCUAACUAAUUUACAGCUCAUGAAAACUAGCCAUAUCAGAAAAGUAUCUUCUAAGUUUUAUCUUUUAAAAUAUUAGCCUUAAUAUCUUGUUUAUUGUCUUUUGUUUCUACAAUCUUGGCUUCUGCAUUGCGGUUCAUCAUUUUCGUGUUCUUGAGGAAUGCAACAAGUCCUGCAAGCACAUUAUCGGCAUCUUCACUUUUCAUGAACUGCAAUCUCUACAGGAUCAGUCACCUCCAGCUACUUUAUCAAUUCUUCAAUUUCGUCGGAGGGAUAGUGAGUUCUUGUUCCAAGGUAGUUAGAAGCAAGGAUCUUGAAUCCACUUGGUGUGCAGUACGACAUGUUAAUGUGCAUAUUCAUCCGCCCUGGUCUCAACAAUGCAGGAUCUAGUUUGUCCAUGAUUAUCCUCUCAUCUCCGCAGCUUGACAACAGCCCAUCGAUGAAAUUAAGGAACCCCGAUAGAGUUAACUGUCGAAAACAGACAACUUAUUUAGAACAGAAUCAUAGAUAAAAUUUCUUGUAUAGGUAAAAUCACUUUCAUGAUGAAAGUUUCAUCUUACCUGGCUGUCGUUGUUGCUGACUCCACGUUUUCGGUCACUAAUUCCAGUGCUGCAAUCAAUAUCUUUGAUUACGAGUAUCGGUUGAUUUGCAGUGGAGACUAACGGCUUCCUGUGCUCGGAGUUGCUACUCAUUUGCAAAAGCUCAAGUCAUCAACGUCAAGCUGGACUUUCUUGUACCGGGAGGACCAUACAACAAGUAUCCACUUUUCCAUGCCUUGCCUACUCUCCCGUAAAACUCCUUUCGCUUCACGAACCUCACCAAGUCAUCGAUCAACUCUUCCUUAAGCUUGGGAUCCAUUGCCAAUGUGUCAAAAGUAGACGGAUGAUGAAGGACGACAGAGCCCCAUGGACCUGCAUUGUAUUCCAGUAAAGUUUCCGAGAGCAUGAAGCCUCACCGCCUUGUUUUCAUGUUGUAGGGCUUUUGAUCUCUCUACUACAUACGUCAGGUAAGCGUUCAGCACCUUUUCUCUGUAUCUUUUAUGGAAACUGACCUGAAUUGAUUUGUUCUCAGACACUUCUAGUGAGGUGGAUUUCAGCUCGUAGUCAAAUUCCAAUCUUCGCGUUUCAGUACAACAGAAAUUCCAUACCAACUUGAUUCCUUCGAAUCCAUCAAUGAGCUUUUCGCCUUUGUUGAUGGUGAUGGAUAAAUUGUUCUGUUGCGCAGACUUGGAGACCUUGAGCUGUUCGACAGAAGGGGUGAUCCUUGUGCUCAAGUAGGUUUCGGAAGCCUGGUAAAUUUCAUUGACAGAGAUGUCGCUGAACUCAUCAAUGAUGAGAGUCGCUUGAGAAUUAGGAAGAGGUUUCCGAAUAGGCCUCUGAGUGUGGCCAUGAUUCAGUCGUGGAGUUUUCGGGGUAUGAACUGGUUGGCUCUGGUCUGGACCUCAUUGAUCACUGUCCUGGCCAGCAUUGCUCCUGCAGCAAAAGUUUUGUAGCUUGAUAUGACUGAUGUCGUUGAAGGCAUGUUUGCUAGAGAAAACAUCUUUCAAUGUAUGAGUUUUUAUAUUUGCUGGUUUGUUGAGUUGAGUUCGAAAUAUUGGUGAAGGGAUUUCAUGGAAAAUGUGGAAAAAGCAGCUUCCACAUGAAGCUGUUUGACUAAAAUUUGUUCAAGCCAAUUCAAUCUUCCAGAUGAGAGAAACAAGCUUCUCAAGCAAUUUUCACUAUAAAAAAAGACCAAGAAAAAAAGCCGAGUCGACUUUGGUGGACAAUCUCAUAAUCUGUUAUCUAUAACAAUAAUAUUAUUUAGACGUAUAGAACUGACACUCUGUAAAUACAAGUGGAUUGCAUCAUUGUAUGUUUAUUUUUUAGAGUGUGUAUGUACAUUACUCUAUCUAUAAUUUCAUUUUAAAAUUUUGGUUCGACAUUUUGAAAUAACUUAUACGUGAAUUGAUGAGAGAUAGAGAUAAUGGAAUCAUUUUACAGUAAAAUCUCUCCCUAGUAUGCCGUUGUGGCAUUUUUGACUUAUCAAGCAUCAUUACGUGUUUUUAAAUUUAUGAGAUGACAUUACGUAAUUGAUCUCAGUUACUGCAAAAUUGGCGUCCCCGUUUUCAUGGGAGGAGGAGGUUAGAUAGUUGUUUGAAAACUGUUGCAACUUCAAACUCUCUUAGAGAUUGUAUCCCAUUUCAAAGUGUCAGUACUAACAUAUUCUUUUGGUUGCUCUUCUUACUUAAUGUUAAUUUAUGUAUGGUGUUUUUUUUAAGUCGAAUUAUAUAUAUGAAGCCUUUACAGCUACAAUUGAUGUAUAUAUUAAAGAGACUUAAAAGCCUUCUCCGUGUGAAUCCAAUAAAACAACUAAAAACAACCACAAGUUGUAGCUGGCCAUACGCAUCGCCUAAAGAAACACCAACGCUAAGUAGUCUUACGAGUGUGUUUGUCGUUAGAUUUGAUUUUCACAAUUGUUAGAUAUUUACUUUUAAUCUCAACUAACAAUUUUUCAAAUCACUUGAUGCUACGUAGCAUUAAGAACAAUUCCACUUAGCGAACAAUUUGCAUUUUACAUGCACCCACAUAUGAAAAUUUCCCCAUCAACUUUCAUGUCAUUUAGUUACAAAAUUUUAUUUAUAAAUUUAAUUUCCCUUGCAUAAACUACCAAGUACAAGGCCAGCUGAUAUUUGAUAAAUUUCCCCAACAAUUCUCAUUAUCUUCUCAGAUACAAAAGCAGGCCAGCUGAUAUUUGACAAAUUUCCCCAACUCCAAAUUCUCAUUAUCUUCUCGGAUACAAAAGCAAUUUAUAUGACACUAGUAGAGUAACGUGUCUCUCUCUCUCUCUCUCUCUCUCACGCUUGGACUGGUUGCCUCCCUCUCAAAUUUUCAACCAGAAAGCGAGAGAAGGUUGUAAAUUCAAGUUCUGUGUCAACUGGUGAGAUCACAGAUGGAUUUCUUGAGUUAUUGCUUGAUAAUCCCAUGUCUUUUUUCUAUCUGGUAUUUCUCAGUUCAAGCUCUCAGAUCCAAUCGCAAAAGGCUUCUUCCACCGGGACCAAAGCCAUUUCCCAUCAUUGGCAAUCUCUUGGAGCUCGGCAACAAACCCCAUCUCUCUCUCACUAACCUUUCACAACGGCCCCAUUAUUUCUUUGCAACUCGGACAAAUAACCACGGUUGUAGUUUCUUCAUCAACCGUGGCAAAAGAGGUACUCUGAACCCACGACCAGUUCUUGUGCAACCGAACCAUCCCCAACGCAAUCCAAGCUUGCGACCUCCGCCAGGACAGCUUGCCCUGGAUACCCGCAUCAGACAGAUGGAGAAACCUCCGUAAAAUAUGCAACAACCAAUUGUUUGCAACGAAAGUCCUCAACGCCAACCAAGCCAACCGCCACCUGAAAGUGCAGGAGCUCAUUGCCGAUGUCAAUGAAAGCGUUGUGAAAGGUAAGGCUGUAGAAAUUGGGAGGGCUGCUUUUAAGACGACCCUUGUCACAUCCCGGCCCGGGGCGGACUACUUUUCGGGCCCGCUCCAUCACCGUAGCACGAUAUUGUCCGUUUUGGGUCCCGAUCACGCCCUUACGGUUUUGUUUCUGGGAACUCACGAGCAACUUCCCAGUGGAUCACCCAUCAUGGGAGUGCUCUGGCCACCUUCUCGCUUAACUUUGGAGUUCCGACGGAACCCGAAACCAGUGAGCUCCCAAAAGGUCUCGUGCUAGGUAAGGAUGUGAAUAUACAUUUAAGGAUCACUCCCCUAGGCGAUGUGGGAUGUCACAAUCCACCCCCCUUAGGGGCUCGACGUCCUCGUCGGCACACUUCCGGCCAGAGAUUGGCUCUGAUACCAUUUGUCACAUUCCGACUCAGGGCGGACUACUUCCUGAGCCCGCUCCACCAUCGUAGCACGAUAUUGUCCGCUUUGGGCCCCGAUCACGCCCUCACGAUUUUGUUUCUGGGAACUUACGAGCAACUUCUCAGUGGGUCACCCAUCAUGGGAGUGCUCUGGCCACCUUCUAGCUUAACUUCGGAGUUCCGACGGAACUCGAAGCCAAUGAGCUCCCAAAAGGCCUCGUGCUAGAUAGGGAUGUGAAUAUACAUUUAAGGAUCACUCCCCUGGACAAUGUGGGAUGUCACAACCCUCAAUCUGCUGUCGCGUACUGUUUUCUCCGUCGAUUUGGCUGACCCGAGCAGUGAGGUGGGAAGAGAGUUCAAGGAGAUUGUGUGGGGUUUGAUGGAAGAGGCAGGGAAACCAAACUUUGGGGACUAUUUUCCUCUGCUUAGGAAACUUGACCCCCAAGGCAUUCGAGGGCGCAUGAUCAAACAUUUUCUAAAGAUUGAUUCGCUUUUUGAUCGAAUGAUUACGCAAAGGUUAGAAUUGAGAAAAUCGAACGAUGAUGUCACAAAUAAUGAUAUGCUGGAUUCUCUCUUGAACAUCGGUGGAGUAAGCAAUGAGGAUAUGGACAAGCUAUUGAUUGAACAUCUGCUUCUGGUCAGUUUUCUACUUUCUAACAACUCAGAUUCGGUAUUUUAGGAUGCGUUUGAUAAACAUUUUGGUUUUUCAGUUAUCAUUCGGUUCAUUAAAAUUUACAAUUCCAUUAUUUAAUCAUUGUAUUGCUGCAAUAUGUUUUUAUAGUCUCUAUUUGUUGCGGGCACGGAUACAAUUUCGGCCACGCUGGAAUGGGCAAUGGCUGAACUACUACGCAACCCGGAAAAACUGUCAAAAACGCAAGAGGAACUAGAUCAAGUUAUUGGCAAAGGAAAACCAGUUGAAGAAUCGGACAUUGCUAGACUCCCUUAAUUACAAGCAAUAAUCAAAGAGACCCUCCGGUUGCAUCCGGCUGCACCAUUACUACUCCCUCCAAAGGCCAAACAAGAUGUGGAAAUUUGCGCGUACAUUGUCCCAAAGGGUGCACAAGUGCUGGUCAAUGCAUGGGCUAUAGGCAGAUACCCCUGCAUUUGGGACAACCCGACCUCAUUUGCACCGGAGAGGUUUUUCAGAUUAGAUGAUCAAAUCGAUGUUUUAGGCAAGAAUUUUGAGCUUAUUCUGUUUGGUGGCGGGAGGAGAAUAUGUCCAGGGCUGCCAUUGGCGAUGCAGAUGCUACACUUGAUUUUGGGUUCACUUAUUAACUCAUUUAAUUGGAAGCUUGAAGAUGGAAUUAUACAAGAGAACAUGAACAUGGAGGAGAAGUUUGGCCUCACCUUACAGAUGGCUCAACCUCUUAUUUGAUAUGGUAAUUGUAUUAACUUUUAAUUUGUAAUUUUUUUAUUUAUGUGGUUGUUUUUGGAUUAAGAGAUGCACCAAUGCUUCUGUAAAAUAACACAAAAUUUGUUGUGGCAAAAAGGGAAUUAGAUUAGAAAGAAAGAAAGUCAACGAGUUAUUCUUUCAACAACAAAAUCCUAAUCCCUUUUGUAGGUGUUGUUGCUAAUUUUUGUCGUUGAACUUGAUAUUUCCUUCAACAUUGGCGCCAACGAGUUAUUCUUUGACUAAAGUUAGAGGUUAUCAAAAAGAUAAAAAGGUUUACUUAAGACCGAAUCUUAUUGGAUUUAUCUAGAGAUAAAAAUAAAAUGUUUAAUUUCUUGAUUUUCUUGUUACUCAAAAGUUCAUAGAGCUCGUUUGAUAACUAUUUUUUUUCUUCUUCUGGGUUUCACGUUUUAUGUUAGUGACAGAAGGAAAUCCAAUUGGUUUGUAUUGCACAUUAAUAAUUUAGAAUUAUGACUUGUAUUCCAAGCAUUAUUUCUCUUAUUCGUUGUCUUCUUUUGUUUCUUCAAUCUUGGCUUCAGCAUUGCAGUUCAUGGUUUUCUUGUCCUUUGAGGAAUGCAACAAGUCCUUAUCGGCAUCUUCCCUUUUCAUGAACUGCAAUCUCUGCAGGAGUCACCUCCAGCUGCUUUAAGAAUUCUUCAAUUUCGUCGAAGAGAUGGUGAGUUUUUGUUCCAAGGUAGUUAGAAGCAAGGAUCUUGAAUCCACUUGGUGUGCAGUAGGGCAUGUGAAUGUGCAUAUCCAUGCACCCUGGUCUCAACAAUGCAGGAUCUUGUUUCUCCUCUCAUAUCCGCAGCUUGACCACAGCCCAUUGAUGAAAUUAAGCAACACCGAUAGAGUUAACUGUCAAAAACAGCAAUCUCGAUUUUGAUCACACUUUGCUCCAUGAAACUCAAAAGCCAAUUUACUCCCUAGAACUCGAUUUUGAUCACACUUUGCUCUCCGAAACUCAAAACUCGUCUUUUUAUUUCUUAAAACUCAAAAUUCGCUCUACAUUGCCUUGUUUUUAGAAUAAGUUCAUCUAUUUAAAAUUCAUAAUUAGUAAUAUGUCAAAUUUUCGUUGAAAUAAAUUAAUAGUAAAAAAGAACAAAACAUCUUCUCUUCAUCAACUACCUCCAUUAAUUGCAUAAGAACAUUUCCCAAAAACAAAACCAAUGGAAUUAAUGAUAAGGUGGCUAGAGAUGGAGAGAGAAUGGAUGAAUGUAUGGACAAAGAUUAGAGAGUGUAGACAAGGGCAGUUAGGAUGAGUUGUUAUCAUUUAAUUGUAAUUUGUAUUGAAUUGUAUUGUAUAGCUGCUACAAGACCCCUAUAUUCUGUAGACCUCUUGGUGUAUAAAGCCUUGUAAAGUUUACCUAAAGUUUAAUGAAAAUAUGAAACUUCACAUGGUAUUGAGCCUCUUAUCCCUUUUUUUUUUCAUGGCUUCCGCAACUUCCUCUCCUACAUCUCCAAUCCCUAAUAUCUCUACACUAGUUUCUGUCAAACUUUCUGAGCCUAAUUACUUACCUUGGGAAAGUCAAGUUAAGCCAUUCUUGAUUGGCCAAAACCUUUGGCGUUUUGUAGAUGGAACCCACCAUUGCCCUCCUCCCUUUAUCACCACCACCACUCAUGCAGCUUCACCAAAUACCUCUGCUGAUUCCGACUCCUCCACAGUGGUGCCUUCUGUGACUACUAGUGUUCCCAACCCCGAUUACCUGGUGUGGUACUAGACUGAUCAAAACUUGUCAGCACGUUGUGUGCUACGCUUACAGAGCCUGUUUUCUCUUUGACUGUCGGGUUGUUUACUUCUCGUGAGAUUUGGGAGCAUCUUCGUCAAAAAAAUUCUCAACAAUCCCUCACCAACUCUACCCAUACUCGGUUUCAGUUGUUGUCUCUUCAGAAAGGUACUAAAACGAUUUCAAAAUAUCUUGGUCUUGCCAACAUUUGGCAAAUCAAUUGGCUUCUAUUGACCAACCUGUUCAGAAUGAUGAUUUGGUGACUUAUGUACUUAAUGGCUUGGGGCCUGAAUAUGAGAUUCUUGUCUUGGUGCUGACCAACUUUCCUCCACUACCGUCAUUCAACGAUUUACGUGCUCAUCUUUUAGUUUAUGAAUCCAAACAUGUUAUGACUCAAGUUGUUUUGGCUUCCUAUGCUUUCUACUCCGCACGUAAUUCUGAUGGUAAUUUCUCUCAGGGACAUGCUGGUUCACCCUCCCGCCAUCAUGGCACUUUAAGUGGCAAUCGGCAUCUUCGUACGUAUGGUGGUGGCCGUUCUACUAUGCAUGGUGGUGUUGGCCGAUAUGGUUAGCGUGCUGCACAACAACAACCUGGCAUCCUUGGACCAGGUCUUGCUACUCGUGGCCCUCAAUGUUGGGCAUGCAAUCAAUUUAGUCAUAUAGUUGUGUUGUGUCCUCAAGCAACUUGUUCUGAUGAUGAUAUCUCUCGAGCUUUCGCUGGCAUGCACAUUACUUCCCCCUCUGAUCCUACAUGGUAUCCAAACAUUGGUGCUACUCACCAUAUGACAAGUGACUCUAGCUCCAUUACUUCGGCUAUGGGGUAUGGUUCUAAUGACAAGGUUGUUAUGGGUAAUGGUGAGACCCUCCCUAUUGCGCACACUGGUAAAAUUUCCUUUAAGUCCAGGUCAUUCAUUUUUUGGUUAUCCCAAGUUUCGCAUGUUCUAGCAAUUGAGAAAAAUUUAUUGUCAGUUACUAAGUUUACACAUGAUAAUCUUGUUAGUCUAACGUUCUUUCCAUUGGGUUUUGUCAUACGUGACUUAAAUACGGGUGUUGUUCUUUUUCAGGGCCCAUGUGAAGAUGGUCUUUAUCCCAUUAAGCUUGGUCUUGCUUCUAAAAAUGGUUAUACUGCCAAACAUGUUUUUGUUUCCAUUUUACGUCACCCUCACUCUGGCAUCGUCGUCUUGGGCAUCCCUCCCAUCAAGUUCUUAGUGUGUUAGCAUCUAGUGAUGUAUUAGGCUCGUCUUUUACUGCCUCCACUAAAGAUUUUUGUAAUCACUGUGCGUUGGCUAAAUCCCAUCACCUAGCAUUUACAUCGUCAGAACACUAUGCUAUAUCUCUUUUUGAAUUAAUACAUUCUGAUGUUUGGAUGUCUCCUAUUGUGUCGGUGUUGAGUUUUUGUUACUAUGUCUUGUUUGCAGAUGAUUACACACGAUACACAUGGAUUUAUCCCAUGUGUAAGAAGUCUGAGUUGCCAGCUAGUGAUGUGGCUCAUGCUCCUUCCUCAGGACCUCACACACAGUCCAAGUCUGGAAUUUUCAAACCCAAAACCAAAGCAUACUUUGCAAGUCGUCAUCCUAUUCCUUCUACAAUGGCUGCCUUUGUUGAAUCCGAUAAGGAGCCCACUUGUUUUACACAGGCCUCAUAGUCUCCUAAAUGGCACCAGGUUAUGUUGGAUGAGUUCAAUGCGUUGCUCAAACAAGGUAGAUGAACUGUAAUUCCUUAUGUUCAUUAUGCUAACACUUUCGGAUGUAAAUGGGUGUUAAAAAAAAACAUCAUUCUGAUAGAUCAAUAGAGCGUUACAAGGUGCGUCUUGUCGUCAAAGGUUUCCAUCAAUAGCCUGGGGUUGAUUACUUAUGAACCUUUAGUUCUGUUGUGAAGCCUACCACGAUUCAAACCGUGCUCAACCUUGUUGUGUCCUUUGGUUGGCCGAUACAUCAACUUGACGUGAAGAACGCAUUUCUCCAUGGUUCACUUAUAGAAGAGGUUUAUAUGACCCAACCACCUGGAUUUGUUGAUCCCAAUCGUCCCAAUUAUGUUUGUAAGCUUCGAAAAGCCAUCUACGGUCUUAAACAAGCUUUGCGAGCUUGGUUUCAACGCCUAAACACCUUUCUCAUUCAUGUAGGCUUUGUUCAAAGUCAGGCCGAUAGUUCGAUGUUUACAUAUCAUCAUGGCUCCACUAUCCUUGUUUUUCUUUUAUAUGUGGAUGACAUCAUUUUAACAGUUAAUUCCUCUCCCUUGAUUCAAUCCUUUAUCUAAACUUUGAGCACUGAGUUUGAACUAAAGGAUCUCGACAAGCUGCACUAUUUCCUUGGCAUAGAGGUAUCUUAUUUAUCCAAUGGCAUUCACUUGUCUCAUAACAAAUAUACUUUGGAGUUAUUACAACGUGGUGACUUAUUAGAGUGUAAACCUUGUUCCACACCUAUAGCAGCCAAGACUCAACUUUUUGCACACACCGGUGCUCCAUUCUCAGAUCCAUCUCUUUAUCGGUAGCUUGUGGGUUCUUUGUAGUAUCUUAUGUUAACUCAGCCGGAUAUUUCCUUUGCUGUACAAAAUGUUUCUCAGUUUAUGGGUCAUCCUACUAAUGCCCACAUGGAGACGAUUAAGCAAAUAUUGCAUUAUCUUCAGGGCAGCUUGAGUAUAGGAUUUCGCUUAACUUUGUCUUCACAACCGUUUCAUCUCAUUGCUUAUUCUGAUGCAGACCGGGCACGAUGCCUUGACACAUAUCGUUCCACCACUGGCUUUUGUAUUUUUCUUGGUGACAAUCUAAUUUUUUGAUGUGCUAAGAAACAAUGGACGGUCUCUUGAUCUAGUGCCGAAAUGGAGUAUCGGGCUCUUGCCUUUGCAUGUGCUGAUUCUAUUUGGAUAAUGGGUCUUUUGCGUGAGCUUCGUGUACCAAUCUUUGAGCCAAUACUGGUGCAUUGUGACAAUUUGAGUGUCAUAUAUAUGGUUGCUAAUCCGGUCUUUCAUGCUCACACAAAACACAUUACUUUGGAUUAUCAUUUCGUCCGGAACGUGUUGCUUCAGGAACUCAUCAUGUUCACUUUCUUCCUUUUGUUUCGCAACUGGCUAAUUUUUUACGAACGGUUUCCCGAAUACGCGUUUUCAGUCCUUAUGUUCCAAACUUGUCUCCUCUCCGGCGUCAAGUUUGCGGGGGAGUGUAGACAAGGGCAGUUAAGAUGAGUUGUUAUAAUUUAAUUGUAAUUUGUAUUUAAUUGUAUUGUAUAGCUACUACAGGACCCCUAUAUUCUAUAGACCUCCUGGUGUAUAAAGCCUUGUAAAGUUUACCUAAAGUUUAAUGAAAAUCUGAAACUUCACACAGAGCAAUGGGAAAAAGAGGGGUCAGAGUCGGAGAGAUGAAACCUAGGAAUAUUUUUUGCUAUUUUUUAAAAUAUAUUAUACAAUGUUUGAAAAUUCAAUUUUCUUUUGAGGUGACACUAUUUGAUUGGAUUUGUGAGUUUUAUACUUGUGCUACAUCAGCCAUAAGUGACACUUAAUUAUGUUAUAUAAGUAAACUUAACGAUUAUUUAACAGAAUAUAUUGAAACAAACCCAAGUGGAGUGAAUAUUGAGUUUCAGGAAAUAAAGUGGCGAUUUUGGAGUUUCAAGAGGCAAAGUGAAAUCGAAAUUGAGUUCCAGAAAACAAAGUGACGACUUUUAAGUUUCAGUGAAUAAAGUGAGAUUAAAUCGAAUUCCAGAAAGCAUAACAUAAGUAAAACUAAACCUUUUUGAAAGGUAUCCUAUUUUUCUUUGGUCAACUUUGUGGGUAAUAGUGUUAGGGAGACUAAAUUUUGUAAUCUAAAUGACAUGAUAGUUAAUGAUUGUAUUAUUACUCAAGUCUUGAUUAACGUACUUAUUUCUUAUUGGUGACACAUCAUUUAGUUUCUAAAUUUAGUCUACCUAGCAUUACUCUUAAAAGAUUUCAAAUCUUAUGCACUGAAAUGGAGCUAUGGCUCUUUGUAGCUUCUCUAGAAACACAACAUUUGCCCACUUACUUAUGCACGUUAACUGUGUUAACUUCGAGAGAUUUUUUAUUAUGACGAGAAUACAAGUGGUACACCACGUGUUUUAAUAGAAGUGAUGAGAAUUUUUUUUUUUAAGUUAUUAACUUUUUAGCACAUAUAUCUCACCAUUUGUAUAGUGACACGUGAUGUACCACCCCGUAUACCGAUUACAUUGAAAAAUCUUUAAUUAACAUCUUUGUUAUCUCCCAAAUUCGAAAAAAAAAAAAUCAAAAACUCAAUCAUCUCUAGCAUUUGUCUUGCCAAGUCCCUUUCUCCCUGACGCCGACGAAGCCGCAGAAUCAGUAUAUGUUUGUCUUAUGAUUUCUUCUGGGAUUUACAAGAGAAGACCUUCUUGGCUGUUGAUGUAAGUCAACCCGACGACAUCUGAGAAUUAUCUCUGACCAAUGUGACCAUCGACCGGAGUCUUGAAGUAUUCAGAUCGGACGUUGGAGUUUACACCGGUUUGGGUUGGGUAGACCUAUUUUUUUUCAACUCAAACGCAAUGCACAAAAUUAAAAAUUAAAAUAAACUAGAAAACUAUUAUUUGCACAGUACUCAAGCUUUGUGUGAAACUUGCAUACAUGACUAGAAAUGAUUUAUUCUUUUAAAUCAAGGUUCAUGCUUUUUGCAGUUUUUUUGUUUUUUUUUGUUUUUGAGUUUGAUUGAUUUGUUGUAAACCAGUAAAUAAUUGACACUUAAUUAUCUACACCCAAUUAUCUACUCCCUUACAUCAGUCAUAAGUGACACUUAAUUAUGUUAUAUAAGCAAGGUACUAAAAAACGCUAGACUUUAGUGAUGAGUAUGGUUACAUGGCAAUAUUACAUAUAUUUGCCAUGUCAGCAAAUCAGUUGGAUUUGGUUGUAAGGUCAGUUGGAUAUAGUUGUAAGAUUUAGUUUAUUGGAUAAGAUUUGAUAAGAUUUAGUGAGAUAUGUUGAGGGGUUGCUUAGUCAUUAAGAAAGUAGUGGUAGUCCUUUAUAUUGGAUUCUCUUGUAAUAACUCUCUCAAUUAACAAAAAUACAAUAGUCGUGAAGUACUUUUCCUCUCUGAGUUUUCUGAGAUUUUCCUUGGCUCUUUAACAUUCCUUCAUUCUCUAAGAUUCUUCAUCAAUGUCAAACUCUGUAUUUCUAGUUAAUAUGGUAUCCAGAGCUGGCGGUCCUCCUGUGGUUCAUAGUUUCUUGGGGCGGUUUUCUCUGAGAGUUUGAUCGAGGUUCUUGAUCGGGGGUUUCUUGGUGCUUCUUGGUUUCUUGCGCAUCUGGGUUUUUUGGAUUUCUAGAGUUCUUUUUGUGAAGCUUUGAUUCUUUGUUUUGUGGCUUAUGAUAUCAGUUGGGGCACGAAGCCAAUUCAAGAUUAUGUAGCAGGCACGAAGCCAUCUGGGUAAUUUCUUGCAAGGUUUGUUGUUUAGUAGGCAAUUUAACUGAUAAUUGUUGAAUUGGCAUUUUGUUUCUUUCAAGAAGUAGUUGUUUGUUUUCCUGAUUUGUGAUAAUCAUGGCAUCUUCUGGAGUUAAAAUUGAGGGUUUGCUUGGAAUGUUGACAAUCAAGUUAACUGAUAAGAAUUUCUCAAAAUGGGUUUUUCAGUUUAAGUCGGUGUUGAAAGGAUAUAAGUUGUUUGAUCAUUUUGAUGGAACUGCAGUGUGUCCUCCUAAAUUUGUGAUUGAUACGACUUCUGGGGUUACUAGUGUUCUCACAGAAGCUUUUCUUGAAUGGGAAUCCAUUGAUUUAGCACUUUUGAGUUUACUGAUUGCUACUUUAUCUGAUGAGUCUAUUGAACAUGUUUUGGGAUGCAAGACUGCACAUGAGGCAUGGUCUAAUCUUCAGGAUAGAUAUGCUUCAAUCUCAAAGGCUAGGGUGAAUACCUUAAAGACAGAAUUUCAAACAAUUCAAAAGGGCGGUGAUUCAAUUGAUCAGUAUUUGUCUAAAUGAGACACAUUAAAGAACAAUUGGUUGCAGCUGGUGAAUUUGUUUCAGACAAUGAUUUUGUGGUGCCUGCUUUGUCUGGUUUACCGAGGGAGUAUUCUACUAUACGAACUGUAAUUCUUACUCGAGAUACUUCUAUUUCUCUAUGAGAAUUCAAAGAGCAAUUAAUGUGUGCAGAGAGAGAGGCUGAUUCUAUGGUUAACAUUUUGACUCAUAAUUUUUCUGGGUUGUAUAUGCAAGGAUCUUCUUCUCAGUCAAGUGAUUCUCAGGGUUCUUCUAGUAACUCUAAUAAUGUUCCUUUCACCACUGGUGGUACUAUUACUCGAGUACCAAAUAAUGCUCCACCUGUGAGUAUGCCAUUUAUAUCUCAGGGUUCUACUGCCAUGCAUACUCAGCCACCAGGUCAUAUUUUUCCACAUGCUCCUUAUUCUAUUGAUGGUUCUCUGUUUCCUCAAGUUCCAUAUUCUCCUACUUCAUACAUGAUGCCUCCAUCUUUGCCUCCUAUAUAUCCUGAUUUUCCCAAUGUCUAUGGUUUUAUUGGCACUGGUAAUCUUCCUAGGCCAUUUCCUAAUUCCAAUAAUGGUUCAAGAUCUUUCUCUGGUUCCAAGCCUAAUGAGGGUUAUAGAGGUUCAAAUUUUGGAAAUGGAAGAGGACAAUUUUCUGGUCCUAAACAAAGUGGAGGUACUUGGCAGUUUUGGUCAGGGAAUACUGACACCAAACUUCAUAUUGUCCCAGAGUGUCAAAUUUGUUCUAAACAUGGUCACACAGCUCCUAAUUGUUGGAAACGAUCUACUAGUCCUAGUUCUAUGGGACAGGUUGUGGCAUGUCAAAUAUGUGGCAAGCGUGGUCAUAGUGCUUUGGAUUGUCAUCGUCGCAAUAACUUUGCCUAUCAAGGCACAGCUCCUGCUCCUUCCUUGACAGCUAUUCAAGCUCAAGCUCCUUCUAAUCUUCUACCUCAAGAUUCCUGGAUAAAGGACACUGGUGCUUCGCACCAUAUAACUGCUGAUUUGAACUCCCUGCAACAAGUCACAUCUUAUGCAAGCACUGAUAAGAUUACCAUUGGAAAUGGUGAAGGUUUGCAAAUCAAAAAUAUUGGUUCUGCACGUUUACAUACUUUACCUCAGUCUUUAAUUCUCAGAACAGUUUUACAUGUUCCCACUAUUGCAGUUAGUCUACUGUCAGUUAAACAAUUAUGUAAGGAUAAUUUUUGUUGGUUUAUAUGUGAUGAUAAUGAUUUCUUUGUGCAGGACAAGGUAACCAAGGUUGUUCUAUAUCAUGGAAGGACCAAUGAGGGUGAGUUGUUUCGGAUUCCAGUGAAGUUGUUAUCAAAGUCUCCAUCUCAAAAGUCAGUGGCUCUUCUUGGACAGAAAAUAAAGUCUGAAGUAUGGCAUCAACGAUGUGGUCAUCCUAGCAAUGAAGUGUUGUCUGUAAUGUUGAAACAAUCCAAUAUAGUUAGUUCUCCUGAUACUCAUCAACAUUUAUGUUCUUGUUGUAUUUCUGGCAAGAUGUCUAGGUUGCCAUUUCAUGAUAGAACAGAGUCUUGUAACUUUUCAUUUCAAAAGGUGCAUACUGAUCUUUGGGGUCCUUCACCUACUACGUCUAUAGAAGGUUACAAAUACUAUGUUAGUUUUGUUGAUGAGUAUACCAGAUUUGUAUGGAUAUUUCCGUUAAUCAAUAAAUCUAAAGUGUUUGAUGUCUUUCAGAAAUUCUACAGUUUUGUUUUCACUCAGUUUAAUAUUGGAAUUAAGUGUUUGCAAACUGAUGGUAGUGGUGAGUAUAUAAGUAGAAGAUUUGAUGAUUUUCUAAAACACAAGGGCAUUGUACAUAUGAUUUCGUGUCCAUACACUCCUUAACAAAAUGGUCUUGCUGAGAGAAAGCAUCGACAUAUUGUGGAAACUGCUAUUACCUUGAUGACUACUGCUUAAUUACCUCAGGAUCUUUGGUAUCAUGCCUGUGCACAUUCUGUUUUUUUUUAUUAAUAGAAUGCCUUGCAAGGUUUUAGGCAUGCAAUCCCCAUAUCAAAGACUAUAUGGUGUUUCUCCUUAAUUGCAAGGUCUUAAAGUCUUUGGUACUGCUGUCUAUCAUAUUAGACCUUACACUGUAAAUUGCAAACUUGCAAAAGGAGUAAUUCUUUCCAAACAUUUAUUAACUAUCGAGGGGGAUUGUUGUAUCUUCCCAAUAAUUCUCAGAUAAUUAGUUUUAAUCCAAAUUCAUUACCUGCUAAUGUGACAUUGCCCCACAAUUUAUUUCCAGGAUGCCUCAAGGAUGUAUGUUUGUUUUAUCUCUAUGAAUUUGUUGAGGGGCAAUGUAGUAUUCUUGCCUACUAAAUUCUACGAUGAAUAUCUUAUUUGCAAUUAAGGGAAAACACUAAGUCAUUGUCAUCUUCCUUGUGGAAUUCCAUCCCUUAAAACAUGGUUUGCCUUAACAUUCUUCCUGCAACUGUACUGGAGGAUAAUUCUUCAAUCCUAAUCUUCUAUCUGCCUAAUAACUACUUUGGUUUAACACUCCUCCCUCCAAAUGCCUUAAUCCAGGUGUUAAAUUCAAACUGGUGACAAAUUUUCAAUUUCAACGAAGAUAUUGACCAAUUAUCGCACCUAAUUUAGGCACAUUGCAACACAAGAAUGCAAAAACAGGUUUUCAUUGAUUCAACUGGUUUUGAAUUUCAAGAAUUAAUCGCUAUAGAUCUCUUAAUCCAGGAAUUGCAUAUCAUUUAGCAGCUUUGCUAUUAAUCAGGAUUCUUGUAAUAAUUGGGUUUUCAAACAUUUGCUUUUUAAGAAGAAAUUUGAAUAAGCAUUAAAUCAUUAGGAUCAAGCAAUAAAAAUGUUAAGGUUUCUUUCACAGAAUAAUUUUGAUCAUUAAGAGUCAAUUGGAAGUGUUACAAAUCUUGGUUAUCCAUCAACAACAUGUUAAUAUAAUACUUAUCAGUAAUUACUUAAGAUGGUGGAUGUAAAUUGAAAGGAUAUCCGAAGGUCCUAAGAUGGUUCAAUUAAUCCGGCUUUAUUGUCAACAAGAGGAUGGGUUAGGUUAAAUGGUUCUUCAAGGUUUACCAUUUCUAUGAGGUUCCUGAAUUGGAAGAUUGAAGCACACCACUCGAUCAACAGGUUAUCAGUUAUUUAAUUAGUUUCCACGAUUGAAACGUAAUUUCCAUAAUGGAAUUUAAGACUCAUGUAAAGGCAAACAUUAAAAUGCAUUCUUACAUGGCGAUUUAAAGAAGAGGUUUACAUGCAAGCAACCUUCAAGGUUUUUUGUGGAUCUCACACAUCCUGAUUUAUGUGUGCAAACUGGUUAAGUCUCUGUAUGGUUUUAGACAGUUGGGAAUAAUAGGCCUAAGAUGGAAUGCUAGAGAAUUGGUCAAAUUCUUACGCCUUUAUUGUGAUUUUAACGAGUCUAAAUGUGUUAACACCAUUUCACUGUUUUUACUUUUUCAACUCCGUUAGAAGAAGAACUUGCUGUUUUGUCUUGAAUCUCUUAAUAAUCUUAAAUUUCGAUUUGAUUCAAUUGAUAUCAUGGACAAAAUCUAUAUAUUCCAUGAUGUAAUGCCAUUUGAUCAGAAAUCUCUUAGCAUUGGUUUCAAGUACACAGUAUGAGAAGACUAUUUUUAGUUUGCUCUCUUUACCAUUUACUUCUAACUGGACUAGGUGAUCAAUAGUUACCAUAAUUCUUACAAUGGGUCUCUAUGAUUAGUGAAGAAGUUUUGUCUAUAUUGGUAUCGACACUAAAGGUAUUAUACAAUUGUGAGUCACUCCAAAGAACUCUAUUAUGCUUAUUCAACUGAAAGGUACUUCAUGUUUUAGUCCAUUUGGUCUUAUAAAGCUUCAUGAUUUUUAACCUGUUGUAACUAUCAAACCCAUUAUGUUAUUGGCUUUAAAAGAAUACAUUUGGGCUUGCUCCUAAUACUGCUCCAUUAGUGGCAAAUUAGGAGAUUGCAAAGGACAAAGAUCUUUUAGCUGAUUGGUAUUUGUUGAACAAAGAUAUAUUGUAAACUAUAGCACAAUGACUCAGUCUCUAUAUAUUUUUGCUGCAUUAAUAUGUCAACAGAUACUAUGAUCGUCAUAUGGUUCUUGAGAAAGGUUAUGAAGAAAGAUCAUUGCAAUUAGGUACUUACUUAUUCUUCCUAAUUUAAAACUAUUCCACAUUUCUCUAUGGAUUAGGGCACUCCACUCUAAUACUAUAGUUUAGGCAUUAAUUUUGUGAGUAUUAAUGGGCAAGAAUCAUUCUGGAUAUGAAAAACAUGCCUGCAAUGUUUAGGAUUGCCCAUUUAUAGGCAGUUAUGGAUAAUGGUCUCUGAUUGUAGUCAUGUGAUUUAACAUUGUGCUCAAAGUCUUAAGAACAAUAGUGAGCCACCAUUUGGUUUACAAUUGUGAAUAAAAAGCUUCGAUAGAAAGCCUUAUCAUCUAAGUCCUACGUUUCCAUACGGAUUAAAGCAUUUGGACUAUGAAAUUUUCUUUAAUUGAAAAAGUACCGAAGAAGAGGGGGAUUGAUUAUAUGGUUAAAUCAUUUGAAAUAUUAGAUGAAAGUUUACCAUGGCUCAGCAUUAGCCAUUUGGUUUGUAAGGUCAGUAAGGGAAGUUGGAUUUGUAAAAUACACAUAAAGAACAGGCCUGGUUAAGUUUGAGAAAUUUAAUUUUAUAUGGAUAAGAUUAUUAGAUUUUGAUUUCAUUGUAUUUUUACAGAUUUCCAGAAAUAUCUCUGUUAAGUCAAUUCCGUAAUAAAACAAGUCACAGAUCCUGCUUUGGCAAAGAUUUAGCUUAGAAGUCAAUAUAAGAUGAAGUAGCUUGGCAAAUUAAACAUAAUUUCAGUGAUAAAAUCCUUGUAUAAUUGGGAUUCUUAAUAAACAAGUAAAAUAAGUCUCUAACAUUAUAAAAAGUAAAAAAAUAACAAUAGUCGUGAAGUACUUUUCCUCUCUAAGUUUCAUUUCUAAGAGAUUUUUAUAGUGUGCUCUGCUUAAAACUUCCUUCAACAAAAUUCUCUAAGAUUCUUCAUCAAUGUCAAACUUUUUCUCUAUUUCACCUAGUUAAUAGUUAGUCCGUUUAGCUAGGAGGAUUUAGGUAAAUUUAUUGUAUAUCUUGUAACUAAGUGCGUAUUGACACUUACAAAAAAUUAUACUUGUAUAAAAUCCACGGAUAAGAUUAUAAAAAAAAAUAAAAUGCAAAAAGAGUACAACUUCCAAAAUUUCAAAAACAAUUAAGAUAUGUCAAUAACCAAGAGGAGUAUUUCUUGAAGACACAUGUCAAACAAGUUUCACAGAUUUUUUAAACCUUAGACACACAUAUAGACAUUUAGAACUUAUAUUUAUUUUUUAAUUUUUAAAAUAAAAUAAAAACCGCCUAGCCUGCCUAGGCGGCCGCCUAUAGCCCAUCCGAUUUGCAAGAAAAUGCCUCGGCUCACCACCGCCUAGGCCCUUUUUUAGAACAUUGUAUAUAAGUAAACUAACGGUAUUUAACGUUAAAUAUCGAAAAAACCAAGUGUUUGAAUUUUCAGGAAAUUAAAGUGGUGAUUGGAAGUUUCAAGAGGCAAAAUGGAAUCAAAAGUGAUGAAAAAAGUGACAAAAGACACUUUUGAAUUUCAAGCAGAAAAAACCCUGGGAUAGAAAUCGAGUUCCAGGGAGAAAGUGUGACUUUCGAGUUUCAUUCAAAAAUUAAAUAAUUAAUUAAAUGAGAUUCAACCAAAUGAAAACAUAAAUGACAAACAAAUUAUGAUAUUUUUCUUUGGUCAACUUUUAACAGUAAAACUUUUGUGACAUCAAAAUUUGUAAAAUAGACGAGAGUUAAAUUUAUUAUGACUCAAGUGUUAAUUAUUUACUCUCUGGUUUAAACAAACCUUAUUUCAUAAAGCUAACUACCACAUUUGCUUUAUCUCUGCCAAAUGUGAAUUUUUGUUCUUAGAAAAUUUAACUAUAGAGAAAUGUUUUAUUGUGACGAGAAUACAAGUGCUACACCACUUGUUUUAAUAAAAGUGGUGAGAAUAUUUUUUUUUUAAGUUAUUAACUUUUUAGCACACAUAUCCCACAAUUUGUUUAAUGACACGGGAUGGUACACCGGUCAUAUUGAAAAAUCUCUCAUUUAACUACUUUGUUAUCUCCCAAAUUCGAAAAAAAAAAUCAAUAAAUCAAUCAUCUCUAGCAUUUGUCUAGCCAACUCCCCUUCUCGCUGACGCCGACGAAGCCGCAGAAUUAGUAUAUGUCUUAUGAUUUCUUCUGGGAUUUACAAGAGAAGACCUUAUUGGCUGUUGAUGUAAGUCAACCCGACGACAUCUGAGAUUUAUCUCUGACCAAUGUGACCAUCGACGACCGGAGUCUUGAAGUAUUCAGAUCGGACGUUGGAGUUUACUCCGGUUUGGGUUGGGUAGACCUAUUUUUUUCAACUCAAACGCAAUGCACAAAAUUAAAAAUUAAAAUAAACUAGAAAACUAUUAUUUGCGCAGUACUCAAGCUUUGUGUGAAACUUGCAUACAUGACUAGAAAUGAUUUAUUCUUUUGAAUCAAGGUUCAUGCUUUUUGCAUUUUUUUUGUUUAUUUUGUUUUUGAGUUUGAUUGAUUUGUUGUAAACCAGUAAAUAAUUGAUUUUGUCCAAUUUUUCUACUUACGUAGAUUUUUUGUGUCCUUUGGUUUGUCUUGAAUCUGGGAUGGAAUACGCCGGCAGCCAAGUUGCUGCUCCAAUUUACUUUCACCAGACGCUUUCGGGCCGUGGGGACGAAGCGCGAUUUCCCUUACAAGGGCCCAAUUAUCUACACCCCAACUCGCAGCAGUCGCAUGGCUUUUUCCUUGGUUCUUUUUUCAAACUUAAGAGACAACAGAGGAGUUAAUACGGUUAAGGUGUGCAGGUUGAUGGCCAAGAGUCUCGUUGUUAAGGCUGGUUUGGUAUUGCUGUGCUUUGAAAAAAAAGUUGUUGUAAGAAUAAGCGGCUGUGCUGUGAGAAGGCUGUGAAAAAAAUCAGCAAAGUGUUUAGUAAACUUUUUUGUAAAAGUGCUUUUGGAAAAAAAAAAAAAAAAGCAGUCUGAUAGUGAGUCUUUUCAUUAAAAGAGCACUCUAGCUCCGUGUGCUUUGAAAAAAAGUCAGUUUUCCAAAGCUGCAAAUAGCAGCUUCAACUUUUUCCUUUGAUUUCAGCUUAUUCUCACAGCAGCUUCCAAAAUAAGCCUUUUUUUUUUCAUUUUACCAAACACCUAAAACCCUCACAGCUUUUUUCAUGGAUAUUUUUUUUUUAAGCAUCUCACUUCCAAACCACACUUAGAGUGAUCGCAGAAGCCAGAGUCUUUUUCCGUACAGAAGAUUUGACAACCCCCAACCCUACCCCAAUUAACGCACUGCACGUACAUAAACAAAGCAGAAGGGACCACGUGCCAAGAUAAAAAAUAAGCACAAGGGCUGCUGACAUUUGAUAUGAGCAUUGAUUACAGCAACACGUUUCUCUCUACUAGCUGGCUCCCUCUCAAAAUUUCAACUACAAAGAGAGAAGGUUGUAGAUUCAAGUUGUGUGUGUCAACUCACAGAUGGAUUUCUUGAGUUAUUGCUUGAUAAUCCCAUGUCUUCUCUCUCUCUUGUAUUUCUCAGUUCAAGCUUUCAGAUCCGAUCCCAAAAGGCUUCUGCUUCCACCUGGACCAAAGCCAUUUCCCAUCAUUGGCAAUCUCUUGGAGCUCGGCAACAAACCCCAUCUCUCUCUCACUAACCUUUCACAACGAUACGGCCCCAUUAUUUCAUUGCAACUUGGACAAGUAACCACGGUCGUAGUUUCUUCAUCAACC
rnacentral:lncRNA from 1 species